GACGAACGCUGGCGGCGUGCUUAACACAUGCAAGUCGAACGGAAAGGCCCUGCUUUUGUGGGGUGCUCGAGUGGCGAACGGGUGAGUAACACGUGAGUAACCUGCCCUUGACUUUGGGAUAACUUCAGGAAACUGGGGCUCAUACCGGAUAGGAGCUCCUGCUGCAUGGUGGGGGUUGGUAAGUUUCGGCGGUUGGGGAUGGACUCGUGGCUUAUCAGCUUGUUGGUGGGGUAGUGGCUUACCAAGGCGUUGACGGGUAGCCGGCCUGAGAGGGUGACCGGCCACAUUGGGACUGAGAUACGGCCCAGACUCCUACGGGAGGCAGCAGUGGGGAAUAGUGCACGAUGGGCGGAAGCCGGAUGCAGCAACGCCGCGUGCGAGAUGACGGCCUUCGGGUUGUAAACCGCUUGCGCCUGUGACGAAGCGUGAGUGACGGUAAUGGGUAAAGAAGCACCGGCUAACUACGUG
rnacentral:rRNA from 1 species